UGGGGAAUCUUGCGCAAUGGCCGAAAGGCUGACGCAGCGACGCCGCGUGUGGGAUGACGCCUUUCGGGGUGUAAACCACUGUUGCCCGGGACGAACAGCGUUUUUCGAGACGCCUGACGGUACCGGGUGAGGAAGCACCGGCUAACUCCGUGCCAGCAGCCGCGGUAAUACGGAGGGUGCGAGCGUUGUCCGGAAUCACUGGGCGUAAAGGGCGCGUAGGUGGCUGGGGAAGUCGGCGGUGAAAGCCCGGAGCUCAACUCCGGGUCGGCCGUCGAGACUCCUCGGCUCGAGCUCACUAGAGGCAGAUGGAAUUCCGGGUGUAGCGGUGGAAUGCGUAGAGAUCCGGAAGAACACCGGUGGCGAAGGCGGUCUGCUGGGGUGAGGCUGACACUGAUGCGCGACAGCGUGGGGAGCAAACA
rnacentral:rRNA from 1 species